rnacentral:rRNA from 1 species
GACGAACGCUGGCGGCGUGCUUAACACAUGCAAGUCGAACGAAGAGCGAUGGAAGCUUGCUUCUAUCAAUCUUAGUGGCGAACGGGUGAGUAACGCGUAAUCAACCUGCCCUUCAGAGGGGGACAACAGUUGGAAACGACUGCUAAUACCGCAUACGAUCUAAUCUCGGCAUCGAGGAUAGAUGAAAGGUGGCCUCUACAUGUAAGCUAUCACUGAAGGGGGGGAUUGCGUCUGAUUAGCUAGUUGGAGGGGUAACGGCCCACCAAGGCGAUGAUCAGUAGCCGGUCUGAGAGGAUGAACGGCCACAUUGGGACUGAGACACGGCCCAGACUCCUACGGGAGGCAGCAGUGGGGAAUCUUCCGCAAUGGACGAAAGUCUGACGGAGCAACGCCGCGUGAGCGAUGACGGCCUUCGGGUUGUAAAGCUCUGUUAAUCGGGACGAAAGGCCUCCUUGCGAAUAGUGAGAAGGAUUGACGGUACCGGAAUAGAAAGCCACGGCUAACUACGUG